rnacentral:rRNA from 1 species
AGUGAACGCUGGCGGUAGGCCUAACGCAUGCAAGUCGAACGGCAGCACAGUAAGAGCUUGCUCUUACGGGUGGCGAGUGGCGGACGGGUGAGGAAUACAUCGGAAUCUACUUUUUCGUGGGGGAUAACGUAGGGAAACUUACGCUAAUACCGCAUACGACCUACGGGUGAAAGCAGGGGAUCUUCGGACCUUGCGCGAUUGAAUGAGCCGAUGUCGGAUUAGCCAGUUGGCGGGGUAAAGGCCCAUCAAGGCGACGAUCCGUAGCUGGUCUGAGAGGAUGAUCAGCCACACUGGAACUGAGACACGGUCCAGACUCCUACGGGAGGCAGCAGUGGGGAAUAUUGGACAAUGGGCGCAAGCCUGAUCCAGCCAUACCGCGUGGGUGAAGAAGGCCUUCGGGUUGUAAAGCCCUUUUGUUGGGAAAGAAAAGCAGCAGGUUAAUACCCCGCUGUUCUGACGGUACCCAAAGAAUAAGCACCGGCUAACUUCGUG